CACACAGUGCUAGAGGGCAAGAUUAGUAAGUUUACUGAUGAUAGAAAAGUGGGUGAUUUUUAAGAUAGUGAAGAUAGUUAUGAAAGAUUGCAGCAGGAUAUUGAUCGAUUGGUCAGGUGGGCUGAGGAAUGGUUGAUGGAAUUGAAUCCAGAGAAA